UGAGGAACUUCCUCAGUAUUUUCAUUCUGAAUCUCCACGUGGAGAUGGAUAGAGGCCAUUCCCAUAGGAUCCAUCAAGGGGAAACUAUCACAGGAGAAGGGUGGUUACCCAGGCCUUGGGGUUCAAAGAGAACAGAGACAAGCAGUGCUAUGGCUCAGAAAUCACCUGUUAGUUGUGGACUGCAUCCAAGCCCGGAACAGCCUGUGAGGAGAUCUCCAUAUAAAUGGUUCCUGCAGGACCUCCCUUUGAAUGCCUCCCUGGUCUUGGGGGUCUGACAUGGAGCCAGUUGGAGGGCGUUCCAGGAAUUUCCCAGUGGGCCUCCCUCCCAGAAACUUCAAAGUAAGCGCAGAGCUCCAGCACACCCUCCCUGGGGACUUCUGCCAUUGAGACAGACUGAGAAAACCUGACUUCCAGGUUCCAGACACCUCUGUCCCCAUGGCGCUUUGAAAGCGCUCAGGCCUAGUUGUUGCCUCCUCCAUUGGAGCCAGCAUUUGAAAUCGUCAAUGACCCACGGCUGUGUUUAAUUUUUAAAUAUGCAGAUGAUCAAAGUGUGUCCUGGGGUCCACAGUUACUACCUUUAAAUAAAUGAAAUAAAAUAAUGAUAUAGAUACUCUUAAGUCUUGAAUGUAUAAGAAUUUC